CAAUAAAUCACAAUGCGGAACAAUGUUUUGCAAUUGGAUUGAGAACAACGUACAAACCUUAUCGAUAAACAAUUGGAGGGCAAGUCUGGUGCCAGCAGCCGCGGUAAUUCCAGCUCCAAUAGCGUAUAUUAACGUUGUUGCAGUUAAAAAGCUCGUAGUUGAAAUGAAGGGUAGUUGUGUAAUGAAUACAUUCGUGUAUUUUGUUAUUCAAGUACCCUCCUUCUAAAUUCGAUAUAUGAGUAUUAAUUUACUUGUAUAUGGUUUUAGACGUUUACUGUGAGAAAAUUAGAGUGUUCAAAGCAGGCAUUUGCUUGAAUAUAUUAGCAUGGAAUAAUCAUGUAUGAUUUUCAUGAUGUAUUUGAUUGGUUUGGUUCAUGAGAAUAAGAUUAAAAGGGACAGUUGGGGGUAUUCAUAUUCAAUAGUCAGAGGUGAAAUUCUCGGAUUUAUGGAAGAUGA
rnacentral:rRNA from 1 species